rnacentral:rRNA from 1 species
CCUACGAGUGGCUGCAGUGGGGAAUAUUGCACAAUGGGGGAAACCCUGAUGCAGCGACGUCGCGUGAGUGAAGAAGUAAUUCGUUAUGUAAAGCUCUAUCAGCAGGGAAGAAAAUGACGGUACCUUAGUAAGAAGCCCCGGCUAACUACUGGCCAGCAGCCGCGGUAAUACGUAGGGGGCAAGCGUUCUCCGGAUUUACUGGGUGUAACGGGAGCGUAGACGGCAGUGCAAGUCUGGAGUGAAAGGCGGGGGCUCAACCCCCGGACUGCGUUUGAAACUGUACGGCUGGAGUGCAGGAGAGGUAAGUGGAAUUCCUAGUGUAGCGGUGAAAUGCGUAGAUAUUAGGAGGAACACCAGUGGCGAAGGCGGCUUACUGGACUGUAACUGACGUUGAGGCUCGAAAGCGUGGGGAGCAAACAGGAUUAGAUACCCGAGUAGUC